AACGAACGCUGGCGGCAGGCUUAACACAUGCAAGUCGAACGGGUGUAGCAAUACAUCAGUGGCAGACGGGUGAGUAACACGUGGGAACCUUCCUAGGGGUACGGAACAACUCAGGGAAACUUGAGCUAAUACCGUAUACGUCCGUGAGGAGAAAGAUUCAUCGCACUUAGACGGGCCCGCGUCGGAUUAGGUAGUUGGUGGGGUAACGGCCUACCAAGCCUACGAUCCGUAGCUGACCUUAGAGGAUGAUCAGCCACACUGGGACUGAGACACGGCCCAGACUCCUACGUGAGGCAGCAGUGGGGAAUCUUGGACAAUGGGCGCAAGCCUGAUCCAGCCAUGCCGCGUGAGUGAAGAAGGCCUUAGGGUUGUAAAGCUCUUUUGUCAGGGACGAUAAUGACGGUACCUGAAGAAUAAGCCCCGGCAAACUUCGUGCCAGCAGCCGCCGUAAAAC
rnacentral:rRNA from 1 species